rnacentral:tRNA from 1 species
GCCUUCGUGAUGAAAUUGGUAGACAUCCUGGUUUUAGGAACCAGUGCAAUUUUUGCGUGUCGGUUCGAGUCCGACCGAAGGCA